rnacentral:rRNA from 1 species
AACGAACGCUGGCGGCAUGCCUAACACAUGCAAGUCGAACGAGACCUUCGGGUCUAGUGGCGCACGGGUGCGUAACGCGUGGGAACCUGCCCUUAGGUUCGGAAUAACUCCCCGAAAGGGGUGCUAAUACCGGAUAAUGUCUUCGGAUCAAAGAUUUAUCGCCUUUGGAUGGGCCCGCGUUGGAUUAGCUAGUUGGUAGGGUAAAAGCCUACCAAGGCGACGAUCCAUAGCUGGUCUGAGAGGAUGAUCAGCCACACUGGGACUGAGACACGGCCCAGACUCCUACGGGAGGCAGCAGUGGGGAAUAUUGGACAGUGGGCGAAAGCCUGAUCCAGCAAUGCCGCGUGAGUGAUGAAGGCCUUAGGGUUGUAAAGCUCUUUUACCCGGGAUGAUAAUGACAGUACCGGGAGAAUAAGCUCCGGCUAACUCCGUG